GACGAACGCUGGCGGCGUGCUUAACACAUGCAAGUCGAACGGAAAGGCCCUGCUUUUGUGGGGUGCUCGAGUGGCGAACGGGUGAGUAACACGUGAGUAACCUGCCCUUGACUUUGGGAUAACUUCAGGAAACUGGGGCUAAUACCGGAUAGGAGCUCCUGCUGCUUGGUGGGGGUUGGAAAGUUUCGGCGGUUGGGGUUGGAAUCGCGGCUUAUCAGCUUGUUGGUUGGGUAGUGGCUUACCAAGGCUUUGACGGGUAGCCGGCCUGGGAGGGUGACCUGCCACAUUGGAACUGAGCUACGGCACAGACUCCUACGGGAGGCAGCAGAGGGGAAUAUUGUACAAUGGGCGGGAGCCUGAUGCAGCAACGCCGCGUGCGGGAUGACGGCCUUCGGGUUGUAAACCGCUUUCGCCUGUGACGAAGCGUGAGUGACGGUAAUGGGUAAAGAAGCACCGGCUAACUACGUG
rnacentral:rRNA from 1 species